UACGGUCACGUCACGUUGAAAAAACCGGUUCCGUUACGAUCACCGAAGUUAAGCAACGUCUAAGUCUGGUCAGUACUUAGAUGGGUAACCGCUUGGGAAUUCCAAGUGCAGUAAG